AAAUCUGGGUCCACAACAAAAGCAUCAGGCACUCCCAACUACUGAGCCAGCUCUCCAGCUUAAUUUUGGGUUUUUGAGAGAGAGAGAGGGAGAGAGAGAGAGAGAGAGAGAGAGAGAGAGAGAGAGAGAGAGAGAGUCUCAUGUAGUUUGUGGUGACUUCUGAAUGAAAAAAAAGAAAGAAAGAAAGAAGGAGGAUAUGACCCACUCCUAAGGGGUUGUUUUUAUUCCAGAUACAAGGGCGAGCACAGGCAGAAGCAGAGACGUCUGGGAGAAUCCAGAGUGGACAGGACCAUGACUGACCAACUAGAGCAGCUCUGCCCAAAGCUGGGCUGUGAACUGAAUUGGGCAGAACUGGAAUUUAUGAUUUGAGCACUUCCACACAAACCUCCUUCACACCACCCUGCUCUGCAGUGAAAGUCUAAGAAGCUGAGAGGAACUAAGUCCUGAGAGGGAACCAGUCCCUGAAGCACGUGGUGAGCAUAAGAAAAACAACAAAGCUUCAUCCAGCAUCCACAGCACCAGCACACGUGACUGCUGCAGCGGCCACUGAGAGCGAGAGGGAAAUAUCAGGUGUGGGCUUUCAGCAUUUAGAUCCUGGGGAGGCGCUCUGGCUGCUCUCUCACUGCAGGCUCUUUAUGCCACCAGUCAACAAACAGCAGCCUCUGUUGGAAAGGCUCCUUCGAUGUUCUCAAGGACACAGCGCUAUUUUAAAAUUUCUUCAGCAGUUUUACCGUUUUCCUCUCACUCCUGGACAACAGACCCCGGAAGACACUUGGAAAAAAAUUUGGGUCUGAAAUGGGGCCCCGGGGAAGAGUAGGAAGCGGUGGCCACAAGGCAGCCUGAAUGCUGGUUUAUCACUUUGGAAUUCAGCUCCACUCAAGCUUUUCAGGAGAUGGGCAGAAGGCAGCAGCAGAGUCUUUUCCAAACUGUAACACGAGUGCCCGUAGUCGGAUUUCCAAGCCUGUCUGAACCUUGGGAACCUGGGGCUCCAUGUCUCUCUCAGCACUCUGGACUUCUGAACUCCUACCAGAAUAUCUCUUUAAGCCCUAAUUACAGCAUCCACAGCUUC
rnacentral:lncRNA from 1 species